rnacentral:rRNA from 1 species
UACGUAGGGGGGCAAGCGUUGUCCGGAAUCAUUGGGCGUAAAGCGCGUGUAGGCGGUUCGAUAAGUCUGCUGUGAAAGUCCAGGGCUCAACCCUGGGAUGCCGGUGGAUACUGUCGGACUAGAGUACGGAAGAGGCGAGUGGAAUUCCCGGUGUAGCGGUGAAAAUGCGCAGAUAUCAGGAGGAACACCGAUGGCGAAGGCAGGUCUCUGGGCCAUAACUGACGCUGAGAAGCGAAAAGCAUGGGGGAGCGAAACAGGG